rnacentral:rRNA from 3 species
UGGGGAAUUUUGGACAAUGGGCGAAAGCCUGAUCCAGCAAUGCCGCGUGUGUGAAGAAGGCCUUCGGGUUGUAAAGCACUUUUGUCCGGAAAGAAAUGGCUCUGGUUAAUACCUGGGGUCGAUGACGGUACCGGAAGAAUAAGGACCGGCUAACUACGUGCCAGCAGCCGCGGUAAUACGUAGGGUCCAAGCGUUAAUCGGAAUUACUGGGCGUAAAGCGUGCGCAGGCGGUUGUGCAAGACCGAUGUGAAAUCCCCGAGCUUAACUUGGGAAUUGCAUUGGUGACUGCACGGCUAGAGUGUGUCAGAGGGGGGUAGAAUUCCACGUGUAGCAGUGAAAUGCGUAGAGAUGUGGAGGAAUACCGAUGGCGAAGGUAGCCCCCUGGGAUAACACUGACGCUCAUGCACGAAAGCGUGGGGAGCAAACAGG